AACGAACGCUGGCGGCAGGCUUAACACAUGCAAGUCGAGCGCCCCGCAAGGGGAGCGGCAGCCGGGUGAGUAACGCGUGGGAACGUACCUUUUGGUUCGGAACAACUCCGGGAAACUGGAGCUAAUACCGGAUACGCCCUCACGGGGAAAGAGUUAUCGCCGAAAGAUCGGCCCGCGUCUGAUUAGCUAGUUGGUGAGGUAACGGCUCACCAAGGCGACGAUCAGUAGCUGGUCUGAGAGGAUGAUCAGCCACACUGGGACUGAGACACGGCCCAGACUCCUACGGGAGGCAGCAGUGGGGAAUAUUGGACAAUGGGCGCAAGCCUGAUCCAGCCAUGCCGCGUGAGUGAUGAAGGCCUUAGGGUUGUAAAGCUCUUUUGUCCGGGAAGAUAAUGACUGUACCGGAAGAAUAAGCCCCGGCUAACUUCGUG
rnacentral:rRNA from 1 species